rnacentral:rRNA from 1 species
GACGAACGCUGGCGGCGUGCUUAAUACAUGCAAGUCGAACGGAAAGGCCCUGAUCUUGUGGGGCGCUCGAGUGGCGAAAGGGUGAGUAACACGUGAGUAAACUCCCCUUGAAUUUGGGAUAACUUCAGGAAACAGGGGCUAAUACCGGAUAUGAUCUCCUGCAGCACGGUGGGGGUUAGAGAGUUUCGGCGGUUGGGGCUGUUUUCGCGGCUUAUGAGCUUGUUGGUGUGGUAGUGGCUGACCAAGGCUUCGACGGGUAGCCGGCCUGAGAGGGUGACCGGCCACAAUGGGCCUGAGAGAGGGACCAGAAGGCUACGGGAGGCAGCGGGGGAGAACAUGGCGCAAUGGGCCGAAGCCAGAUACAAAGAUGUCGGGUGCGGAAAGACCGCUUUUGGGUUAUAAACCGAUUUCGACUGUAACGUGCAGUGAUUGACGGUAACGGGUAAGAAAGCAACGGCUAACUACGUG